AGGCGAAUCGUCACAGCUUGGGCAUGAAGUUUUCCAACGUGCUCAGAGAGGAGUUCAGUGGUCAAUUGAUAGAUCAAGGGGAAGAGUGGAAUCAUCCAUUCAGAAAGAUAAGGGUGGAACAGAGGGUCCUGACGUCAAUGAAGCCUUUACUUCUCUUCUGCAUUACAUGGCUUACACCACAAGGCAGUGUAGGCACUACUAUGAGAAUGUACCGAUGCGUGAAGAGAUGAAAUAGAGGAAAUCAUAUCCAACGCUAUCACACCGAUCUGAAAUACCACAAGUGUUCAUCCAGCUAUAAAGCUCCUAGUAAAUGUACUGACAAGGUUCAUAUUCAAGUGGCCCCGGGUUCUUAUGCAGUGACAGCAAAAUCAAGAUCGUCUCACAGAGAACAGACACGUGUUAUACACUUGGGACCAGACCAGACCAUAGAUCUCAUUUUUAAUCUAUGAACUGUAAGGAGUACAGGAUUGCAAAAGUAAUAGCCAAUAGCCCUGUUUUUUUUCAGGGGAAUUUUGUAUUUUGUGCACAGCGCAAUGGUUCUCAUUCAUGUUUUAUUAAAAUGCUGUUUCUUAUGGAGCAAUUGAAAAUAAUGAAGUAACUAUUUCUGAAGUGCCAUGCUGCUUAAUGCAUUUGAAUAGAAUACAAUUUUAAAACCAAACAUAACUGAAUCAUACACUCUUUUUGCAUUAUUCUUUAUACAUGACAGUUUGUAUUUCACAUGAGUACAAAUCUGGUGUAUGC